rnacentral:lncRNA from 1 species
AGUACCUAUGUAGGACUGAUGACGAUUCCCAAGUUAGAAAUUAAAACGUUUCGUAUGAAUUUGUUAAAAAAAAAAUACAUAUUAAGUAAUAACGAUGACCAGUAGUUAGGUAUCACUUAUCGUUGGUCCAUUUCAAAAUAUAGAGUACUAGAAUAGUUAUGUUUUGUUUAAUGUUUUUUUAUUUCCCGAACACCACACGCGAAGACCAGCUUUUCCUCCAUAACAAACUAUUUUUAAACGUAUCCAAUUAGUACACUCCAAUUCGUUAAUGUGCGUAACUACCUGUUGAGUAUAUUAAAAUCUACCUACGCUAUGACGCCAUUAUGUGAACACCACCACCAGUCGACGGAGCGUAUAUCGAAAUAGGUGUUUUACUCGUCGCUACUACACCGAUGGUUGUUUUUCGGAAAGAGUGCCAAACACUGUGAAAGAUUAAUAUUAUUCUUAUUGUUAUAAAUAUCAAUUCUCAUUGACCUCGUCCCGUGAUUCGAAACUUAAAAUCGUACAUAUUCUAUGAUAAGCAUUGGUUGUAAAAUAUACAUUUUUAGUGAAAGCUUGCAGUGAUGAAAAGAAAAAUUCAUAAUAGAUAUUAUUUACAUCGAAGGAUUUUGGAGACAAGUAUAGAAAUUAAAAGAUAAAAUACCUAUGAAAAAUAUAACAUCUAACAAAAUAAUUAUUAUAAAGAGCCGAUAACGUUUUAUAUAAGAUUCAAGUACUGUGGAUCAUGACUCACAAGUGUUGUAUAUAAAGAUCGCUUUAAGAUGUGUUAGACAAAAUGUGUAUACAGACGAAACAUUUUAUCUCAAAUGGACUCAAUUUAUCCAAACGUUGAAAAAUAUCGACAAUUAUGCUUUGCUGAUGGGUAGUAGGUACCCAGUAAAAGGCAGGGGUAUGAAAAAUAGAUGUUAGCCGAUUUUCAUACCUAAUGAAUAUGCAUAAAAAUUUCAUAAAAAUCAGUCAAGCCGUUUGGAGGAGUAUCGAGACUAACAUUGUGACACGAGAAUUUUAUAUAUUAGAUACAAUAUAUCAACUUAUAUAUAAGUGAUGUUUAUUUGGCGAUAUUUACGAAAACAAUUUUUAGAAAACAAUAUGUGUACUUACACAACAAUAUAAUAUUAUAUAAUAUAGUU